GGGACGAACGCUGGCGGCGUGCUUAACACAUGCAAGUCGAGCGGUAAGGCCCUUUCGGGGGUACACGAGCGGCGAACGGGUGAAUAACACGUGAGCAAUCUGCCCUUCACUUCGGGAUAAGCCUCGGAAACGGGGUCUAAUACCGGAUAUGACUGCGCCAUGCAUGUGGUGUGGUGGAAAGUUCUGGCGGUGAGGGAUGAGCUCGCGGCCUAUCAGCUUGUUGGUGGGGUAAUGGCCUACCAAGGCUUCGACGGGUAGCCGGCCUGAGAGGGUGACCGGCCACACUGGGACUGAGACACGGCCCAGACUCCGUACGGGAGGCAGCGAGUGGGGAAUAGUUAGGACAAGUGGGACGAAAGCCUAGAUCCAGACAACGCCGCGUGAGGAUCGGACGGUCCGUUACGGGUUCGUAAACCGUUC
rnacentral:rRNA from 1 species